rnacentral:rRNA from 1 species
GACGAACGCUGGCGGCAUGCCUAAUACAUGCAAGUCGAGCGGAGAAUUUGGAGCUUGCUCCAAAUUCUUAGCGGCGGACGGGUGAGUAACACGUGGGCAACCUGCCCUGCAGAUCGGGAUAACUCCGGGAAACCGGUGCUAAUACCGAAUAGUUUGAGGCCUCUCCUGAGGCUUCACGGAAAGACGGUUUCGGCUGUCACUGCAGGAUGGGCCCGCGGCGCAUUAGCUAGUUGGUGGGGUAACGGCCCACCAAGGCGACGAUGCGUAGCCGACCUGAGAGGGUGACCGGCCACACUGGGACUGAGACACGGCCCAGACUCCUACGGGAGGCAGCAGUAGGGAAUCUUCCGCAAUGGACGCAAGUCUGACGGAGCAAUGCCGCGUGAGUGACGAAGGUUUUCGGAUCGUAAAACUCUGUUGUGAGGGAAGAACACGUACCAACUAACUACUGGUACCUUGACGGUACCUCACCAGAAAGCCACGGCUAACUACGUGCCAGCCGCCGCCGUAAUAC